rnacentral:rRNA from 1 species
GAUGAACGCUGGCGGCGUGCCUAAUGCAUGCAAGCCGAACGGCCUGAUUUAUCAGGCAGUGGCAGACGGGUGAGUAACACGUAAGAACUUACCCUGAAGUGGGGGACAACCUCGAGAAAUCGUGGCUAAUACCGCAUACGCUCCGCAAGGAGGAAAGCUAUGGCGCUUCAGGAUGGGCUUGCGCCCUAUCAGGUAGUUGGUGAGGUAAUGGCCCACCAAGCCUAAGACGGGUAGUUGGUCUGAGAGGAUGAUCAGCCACACUGGAAUUGAGAUACGGUCCAGACUCCUACGGGUGGCUG